rnacentral:rRNA from 1 species
GACAGAGGGUGCAAACGUUGCUCGGAAUCACUGGGCGUAAAGGGCGUGUAGGCGGGAAGGUAAGUCGGGCGUGAAAUCCCUGAGCUCAACUCAGGAACUGCACUCGAAACUACUUUUCUUGAGUGCCGGAGAGGAAAGCGGAAUUCCUGGUGUAGAGGUGAAAUUCGUAGAUAUCAGGAGGAACACCAAUUGCGAAGGCAGCUCGCUACACGAAUAUUGACUCUGAGGCACGAAAGCGUGGGGAUCAAACAGG